rnacentral:rRNA from 1 species
UACGGGGGGGGCAAGCGUUGUUCGGAAUUACUGGGCGUAAAGGGCUCGUAGGUGGCCAACUAAGUCAGACGUGAAAUCCCUCGGCUUAACCGGGGAACUGCGUCUGAGACUGGCGGGCUUGAGUACAGGAGAGGAACGCGGAAUUCCAGGUGUAGCGGUGAAAUGCGUAGAUAUCUGGAGGAACACCGGUGGCGAAGGCGGCGUUCUGGACUGUUACUGACACUGAGGAACGAAAGCCAGGGGAGCAAACGGG